rnacentral:rRNA from 1 species
AUUGAACGCUGGCGGCAGGCCUAACACAUGCAAGUCGAGCGAGCGGCGGACGGGUGAGUAAUGUCUGGGAAACUGCCUGAUGGAGGGGGAUAACUACUGGAAACGGUAGCUAAUACCGCAUACCAUCAGAUGUGCCCAGAUGGGAUUAGCUAGUGGGUGGGGUAACGGCUCACCUCGGCGACGCUCCCUAGCUGGUCUGCGAGGAUGACCAGCCACACGGGAACGGAGACACGGUGCAGACUCCUACGGUAGGCAGCAGUGGGGAAUAUUGCACAAUGGGCACAAGCCUGAUGCAGCCAUGCCGCGUGUGUGAAGAAGGCCUUCGGGUUGUAAAGCACUUUCAGCGGGGAGGCGUUACCCGCAGAAGAAGCACCGGCUAACUCCGUGCCAGCCGCCGCGGUAAUAC